rnacentral:rRNA from 1 species
UACGUAGGGUGCGAGCGUUAAUCGGAAUUACUGGGCGUAAAGCGUGCGCAGGCGGUGAUGUAAGGCAGAUGUGAAAUCCCCGGGCUUAACCUGGGAACUGCAUUUGUGACUGCAUCGCUGGAGUGCGGCAGAGGGGGAUGGAAUUCCGCGUGUAGCAGUGAAAUGCGUAGAUAUGCGGAGGAACACCGAUGGCGAAGGCAAUCCCCUGGGCCUGCACUGACGCUCAUGCACGAAAGCGUGGGGAGCAAACAGG